GGAAUCGGAUCCUAGCUCAGGUUUUAUUUUAAAUUUCGAGUUUUCUCUUGUUUGUUUAUCCCUGGGUUGGAGGGGAAGGGUGCCUCACCGUUUUUUAUUCACUUCUUCUGUGAGAUAAGUCACUGUGCUGAUGCUUUAAAAUCGUUUUUGAUUUUUGGGUUUUGCUAAAAUCCAUGGAUUUUUAGUUAUGGAUACUGUCGUCGCUGUUAUUGGGCUUUGCAUGGUUGGUUUUGUUUUCGUCGCUGAGAAAGCUGAGGGAAUAACUUGAAAUGAAAUAUACAUAUUGAGUUUUGUCGAAAAUGUAAAGCUAAAUUUAUUUAUGUUGAGAAUAUAGUUCCAUUUUAAUUGGUGCUAGAUAUUG
rnacentral:misc_RNA from 1 species